rnacentral:rRNA from 1 species
GCUCAGAUUGAACGCUGGCGGCAUGCCUUACACAUGCAAGUCGAACGGCAGCGCGGGGCAACCUGGCGGCGAGUGGCGAACGGGUGAGUAAUAUAUCGGAACGUACCCUGGAGUGGGGGAUAACGUAGCGAAAGUUACGCUAAUACCGCAUACGAUCUAAGGAUGAAAGUGGGGGCUUCGCAAGAACCUCAUGCUCCUGGAGCGGCCGAUAUCUGAUUAGCUAGUUGGURRGGUAAARGCYYACCAAGGCUUCGAUCAGUAGCUGGUCUGAGAGGACGACCAGCCACACUGGAACUGAGACACGGUCCAGACUCCUACGGGAGGCAGCAGUGGGGAAUUUUGGACAAUGGGCGCAAGCCUGAUCCAGCAAUGCCGCGUGAGUGAAGAAGGCCUUCGGGUUGUAAAGCUCUUUUGUCAGGGAAGAAACGGUGAAGGCU